rnacentral:lncRNA from 1 species
CGCUUCCUCCAUGGUUACGUCAGACGGGCUGCAGGGUCGUGAUCUCCGCCCUUCUGCUAUGUGCCAACUCGCCACACGGUGGCGGUCGUCUGCCGUUGUUCACUGACGCCUCUGGUCUCCCGUAGCAACUCGAUCCCGGAUGUCCCGCGUCUCACCGCGAUUACGUUACUUUUCCGCGUCCCACCGCGACUCCUUUGUUCCCGCGUCUCAACGCGAUCCGUAUCAAUCAAUCAAUCUCCGCGUCACACCGCGAUCUCUUUAUCAAUCAAUUAAUCUCCGCGUCUUACCGCGAUUCCUUUGUUCCCGUGUCUCACCGCGAUCAUCUGUGUCCAGCAGCUCGAUCUCGGAUGUCCCGCAUCGCACCGUGAUCACGUCAAUUUCCCGCGGCCCUCCGCAACUCCACGUCCCGCCGCGACUCCGUUUCCCGCGGCCCUCCGCAAUUCCACGUCCCGCCGCAACUCCGUUUCCCGCGGCCCUCCGCAAUUCCACGUCCCGCCGCAACUCCGUUUCCCGCGGCCCUCCGCAAUUCCACGUCCCGCCGCAACUCCGUUUCCCGCGGCCCUCCGCAAUUCCACGUCCCGCCGCGACUCCGUUUCCCGCGGCCCUCCGCAACUCCACGUCCCGCCGCGAAACCCCGUUUCCCACCGUUUUCCGCGUCUCUCAGCGGGAGUACCGCGUCUCACCGUGAGGCCUGUGUACCGUGUUUCCGGGCCGGUGUCCGGUCUGCUCAAGCGCCGGUCGGAUGGGCGCUCCGAAGUCCCGACGGCGCGGCGAGAUCGCGGCGCCGCUGGUCCCGGCGCCGCCGGUCCCGGUGCCGCUGGUUUCCUGGUCCCCCUGCGUUCCGAUGUGCCGGUGCUGCUGGUGUCCCGCUGCGCUGCGAUGUUUGUCCCGGCGAAGCUGCGAUGUCCUGUUCGGGUCCUGUUCAGGUCUCACCCUGUUCGGGCGCCAUAUGUUGCAGGAAGCACGGCCGAAAGCACGACAGACACACAGUAGAGUCAGAUCAUGCUCCAUUUUAUUGCCCGAAUAGCCUAACUUUUAUAGAGAACUUAACAGGGGCGGACAGUGUUUCACACAAGAUUAUUGGUCAAAAGCACUCAGACAAACAACUAUAAGAAAACAACCCCACCUGCAAGAAAACAACCCCCUUGUGAUUAGCAGUCACAUAGAUCUUGUCCUUGAAGCCAGCUACUGGUAACAAUAUUUUUCUGAGUUCCUCAAUUGGGCGAUGUGGGAACACUGUCAUGGGAACUUCUCAUAGUUGCCCUGGUAGCUUGGUUUGCUCAGCUACAGCAAGCCAUGGGAUUUUUGCUGUUUCAAGAAAUCCCUCAACACAUGGGAAAUCAAAGAUUGCUAUUUUACCCUCUUUCUAACCCUGCCGGUUGAAUACAACCGAGCAUAUUUUAUUUUCUUUUGUGUUCCCAGGAACCCUGAGCGAACUGUAUAUGGACAGCUGGAAGAUUAAUAAUGUUAUGCUUUACCCUGACCUUGAUGCAAUUACAGACCUUAAAGGAAACUUAGCUACUGUGGCUGUGCAUGGAGCUGAGGUGUUUCACCAUGGCAUUUAACCAUGUAUUGUCACAGUAUAGCACAAUCACUGGAACAUCUCAAAACAAAAAGGACCUAAAUAUCUCUACUUUAGUUCUACAUGGAAAGAAAAUAUUUUCAAAAGAUGAAUGGAGUUGGAACAAUUCUCUAAGAAUGGCUGAACUUCAAGCCAUGUCUGGACAGACAAUACAAAUUGGUUGCCAAAUAACUAACCGGUCCACUUAUAAUCGGCUGACUGAAAUUAAGACAGUUUCCAAAAUAACUGAACCAAAUUUUGAUUGCUGGUACAAUUUUACUUUCACCAAACCUAUAAUUGUGUACUGUCUUUGGGGUUACAGAGGCACAGAAAUAUUAUUUGAAUUCAUGGUUAAUACAGAAACAUCAUCGACUACAAAGGAUAAGAAGCCUCUGCCUCCGCAGAUACUUGAAAACGAACUGACUCAGCCUCCCAUUGGUCUAACUCCUUAAAAAAAAAUCAUCCUUAUUGGCUUUAGGAGCAAAUCAAUGGCUUCUAUCUGAUGUUUUGCCCCAUUGGGAACAAACUGAGGAAAAUGAUCAUCAAUUAAUUGUAAAUGCCCUUGGAAAAGCCCAAGGCAAUACCUCCCUUGCCUUGAGUUGCAUCCAAGCGCAGUUAUGGAUACAAUCUGUAGCAGCAGCUAUUAUUAGAGAGGGAGAAGGAAAAACUUUGCCCACUGAAAUUCGAAAACUGAUUUGGGAUAAUGCUUCAGAAUUUGAGAAAGAGUUUCAAGCAUGGUGGCAAUUAGUCAACUUUACCCAUUAUGCAGAAAAUGAUAAAAUUGUUGCCUUUAUACUUACUAUAAGUAAUGCCACCGUAUACAAUGUAUAUCCAAUCAUUGCAUUAGGACUCAAUCAUAAUGGAACUAUACUUUAUCCUAAAAAGCAUAAAGUAUGGGCCCAUCAAAAGGGAGGAAAGUGGCAAACAUUUGAUGUCAAUGCAUGUAUUGUGCGUGAACAAAAAGGUUUCAUCUGUGAAAGUAACAUGCUGGAAUCUCAAGACAUUUGUCUUGACACUGAGCAAAAUAUUUUCCACUUUGAGAUACAUCCUAAUGAAACCCUCGAAACUGUACUUGUAUAUAUUGGGAAAGGUUGUGUUUGCAUGAGAACUCAUUGUGAUUCUAUAGUCAUAGAUAAUACAGUGGUAGAUACCAGUAAUCACUCUAAUGUUUGUGUUUGCAAUUUUACCAAAAUUCUAGGAUGUGAUUUUAAAUACUCAGCUCCUG